GGGAGUGCUGCGGAAAUCCAUUGGUUUCUUCCCCUUACAGCUACUACAUGAGCGCAGUGGGUGUGGUUUAAGGGAUGUUACCAGAGAUCGAUGGGGAAUUGAAACAGGCAAAUCAGGCAUGUUUGUUGAGGGUGUAGCUGUGGUAUGGACUGAUCACAACCUGCUGCAGGUGACAGGUAACCAUGGUAAACUGCUCCAUUGGAGCCCUAUCCUCCAACAGUAUAAUUUCACUGCCCAGCACAAAAAGGGCAGCUUGCAUGGGAAUGCAGAUGGCCUGUCUCGGCAACUAGAGGGUUAAUGGUAGACAGAUAAAUCAGCCUGUGGCUGAAUUUUUCUGUCCACCAUCUUAAGGGGGAGGUGUCAUGCCAAAAGCAUGAGUUGGUGUUUGAU